rnacentral:lncRNA from 1 species
UAACAUUUUCUAAAAUCCCCAGACAAACUCUCUCAACCUCUAGCCAACGAAAUUAUCUAGCAUAUCAGUCCCUAAACAAAGCCCAACCAUCACAAACAACAAAUCAGAAGCAUCAAAGCCAAAAAAAUCAAAAAUCGAAGCUAGAAAAGGUAUGAAAUUCUCUAAUUUUGAAAUCCUUCGAUUCGAUGUUAAUUGAUGCAAUUGAUUGUUUAAAGUAGUGUAAUAGGGAGUCUAUUAAUGUUCUGGGUUGUAAAAACACAGACCCAUAACAUCAAAGUGCACGAAUUUGAAGAUUUAAACAAGUUGGAAAAACCGAAUUCUGUUAUUUUUCACCAAAUGUCAGAGGCUAUAACUCUUUGGUCGAUCAUGAGUUUUGUUGUUUAAAAGUUGUUAUAGGUAGCCUGAUAUGUGGUCUUUAAUCUCCAAAAGGAAUCAAGUUCAUAUCUAUUGUAGAUCGGGAUUUAUAAGCGGUCAAAAUGGAUUGACCGUCAUUGACCGGCUGUUCUUCAAACCCAGAAAAUAUUCGAAGUGUCCAGAAAAUAUUUUUUUGGCAAAUGUCAGGCCUUAUAUCCCAGUUAUCUUUAAUGUGUUUUGUGUUCUAAAGCUUUUUAUGUGUAGCCUGUUAUAUGGUAUUUAAUCUCCAAAAAGAAUCAGGUCCAUAUAUAUUAUGGAUUAAGAGUUAUUUAAGGUCAAAGUGGGUUGACCGGCAUUGAUCGGAAAAUUCUGGGCAGCCCAGAAUUUUCAAAGUGUUGAUUUUUCUUACAAGGUUUGACCAUACUUUAGAUGCU